GGAAGUAAAAGUCGUAAUAAGGUCUCCGUUGGUGAACCAGCGGAGGGAUCAUUACCGAGUUUACAACUCCCAAACCCAAUGUGAACCAUACCUAACUGUUGCCUCGGCGGGGUCACGCCCCGGGUGCGUCGCAGCCCCGGAACCAGGCGCCCGCCGGAGGGACCAACCAAACUCUUUCUGUAGUCCCCUCGCGGACGUUAUUUUUACAGCUCUGAGCAAAAAUUCAAAAUGAAUCAAAACUUUCAACAACGGAUCUCUUGGUUCUG
rnacentral:misc_RNA from 1 species